UACGUAGGGUGCAAGCGUUGCCCGGAUUUAUUGGGCGUAAAGGGCGCGUAGGCGGCUCGGGCACGUCCGUUGUGAAAUCGCCCGGCUCAACUGGGCGGGGGUCAGCGGAUACGGCCGAGCUUGAGCAAGCUAGGGGGCAAUGGAAUUCCCGGUGUAGUGGUGGAAUGCGUAGAUAUCGGGAGGAACACCAGUGGCGAAGGCGAAUCUCUGGACAGUUACUGACACUGAGGCACGAAGGCCAGGGGAGGCAACGGG
rnacentral:rRNA from 1 species